rnacentral:rRNA from 1 species
GCAUAACGCGAAGAACCUUACCAAGGCUUGACAUGCAUCUCUAAGCGCGUGAAAGCGCGUGACCCUUCGGGGGAUUUGCACAGGUGCUGCAUGGCCGUCGUCAGCUCGUGUCGUGAGAUGUUGGGUUAAGUCCCGCAACGAGCGCAACCCUUGCGACUAGUUGCCAGCACGUUAAGGUGGGAACUCUAGUCAGACUGCCCAGAUCAACUGGGAGGAAGGUGGGGACGACGUCAGGUCAGUAUGGCCCUUACGCCUUGGGCUGCACACGUACUACAAUGCCCAGUACAAUGAGAACCGAGACCGCGAGGUGGAGGAAAUCUGCAAAACUGGGCUCAGUUCGGAUUGGAGGCUGCAACUCGCCUCCAUGAAGUUGGAGUUGCUAGUAAUCGCGAAUCAGAACGUCGCGGUGAAUGCGUUCCCGGGUCUUGUACACACCG